rnacentral:rRNA from 1 species
AACAUGUUUGUUUGAAGUUAUAAAGAAUCUGACCUGCCCCCUGAAUGAUGGGUUAAAGGGCCGCAGUAUUAUAACUGUGCAAAGGUAGCAUAAUCAUUAGGUUUUUAAUUGAAAUCUUGUAUGAAUGGUUGGACAAAAGAAAGUCUCUCUUUAUAUUAAAAUUUGAAUUUAACUUUUAAGUGAAAAGGCUUAAAUAUCCUAGAGGGACGAUAAGACCCUAUAAAACUUUACAUUGUAAUUUUAUUUUAAUUGAAUUUAUAAAUAAAGAUUUAAUAAGAUUAUUUGUUGUGUUGGGGAGACAUGAGUAAAAUAUUGUUUUAACUGCUUUAUAAAUAAUACAAUUAUUAGUGUGUAGGUGAGAGAUCCUUUUUAAAGAUUAAUAGAUUAAGUUACUUUAGGGAUAACAGCGUAAUUUCUUUUGAGAGCUCUUAUCGAAAAAGAAGAUUGCGACCUCGAUGUUGAAUUAAAAGUAUCUGUAUAAUGUAGGAGUUAUAUAAGAAGGUCUGUUCGACCUUAAAAAUUUUACAUGAUUUGAGUUCAAACCGGUGUAAGCCAGGUU